rnacentral:tmRNA from 1 species
GGGGCUGAUCGGUUUCGACAGCGUCUGCGAACCCGCGAGAAAGCGGGCCGAGGAUGUGGGGUUAUCUCGUAAACGCUCCCUGCAAAACAAUAAGUGCCGAUGCUAAGCGCACUGACUUCGCCCUCGCUGCGUAAGCGAGCCCGAUAGUCCGUCAGACCGUGUGCGACCCCGCCACGGAUCCUGGCGUCAUUUAGGGGUCUUGCCGUGUGAUGGCGUCUGGACGUCGCACGGGACUUUUCCCAGGCUGGGCUUGUCGACUUAGGUGUCUGUGACAAAGGUCGGAGCCGAGUAGAACGUCUGCACAGACUGCGCCCGGAGAAAACGCGGAGACCCAGCGUUGGACGGGGGUUCGAUUCCCCCCAGCUCCACGA